rnacentral:rRNA from 1 species
CCCUACGGGGUGCAGCAGGACGAGAACACCGCACAGGAUCAGGCCGCAGCCGCCGCACAGAAGCGGACCGAGGCAGAGGUGCAGAAGAAGGCAGCGGACGCCGCCCUGGCUACCGCCAGGAACCAGGUAGCCGCUGCUAUGACAGCGAAUCAGGCGGCCCAGGAAGCGGGUAGGGAAAUUAUUCAGCUCGACUCCGCCAACCAGGAGGCCACCGCCCAAGCUGCGGCGAAACGCAAAGCCGCCAACGACGCCAAGGCUGCUGUGGAUCCGAAGGCGAAAGCCCGCGAGUAGGCGGCGAUUCGGGCCAACGAGGCGGCACAGACCUUGGACAGGUCCCAACAGCGGAAGCGGUCGGCGGGAGGGC